GAAGCUUCUCGGCUCUCUGAGCCAAGAAUAUGUGUAGUAUCUGUUCUUUGCAGUGUAAUUUCUGCAAGUGUCUCUAAAGUGAGACCAAUGAAAUUUUCUGUACUUUUCACCUCCGGAAUGGUGCUGUGAGCCUCCUCAACCCCGUUCACGGGUCGGCCUCGAAUUGCAAUGCCUCGAGGAAUGGCCCAUUAAAA
rfam:Schistosoma rodhaini strain Burundi genome assembly, scaffold: SROB_scaffold0000150